CUUACUACAUGAUGAUAUCACCCCAACUUGAACUCACUCACUGACGAUUUGAUGACAAUGGAAGAUCUGGUAUUCAC
rfam:Tupaia chinensis contig168080, whole genome shotgun sequence.